rnacentral:lncRNA from 1 species
UUAGAGACUCUGGACCUUUCUUCCAAAAACACGAGCUUAUGAAUAGGACUCUGUGGUGCCUGACGUGUCGUUCAUGGGUCAGCACAGGCGUGGUAGCUGGGCUGCAGGACAGGCUUAGGAGACCCUCCCAGCAUGGAUGGCGGUAGCUCGUGGGCAAUCUUGCCCCUGAACUAACCCAGCUCAGACUUCAAGUGCCAGAUUGAUCUGAAACUCAGUCUCGCCUCAGCUAGCUGCAGAACAGCCUCCAGAGCCUGCCUGGACACAGUCUAGAAGGAAAAGUUCCCUCUGUCCCUGACUGCCUGGCACACCUUAAAAUCAUUUCAUUUUGCUUUCACCUCUCUUUUUCUGAAAGUCAAAACGUUACAUUCAUGUGUUUCAUGGAAAACAGCUAAGGAUAAAAUACAAAAGCCACACUUCUGUUACACAAUUUCCACUUUCAAAGAAACAUAUAUUUUGGAUCACAAGAACAGGAGGAGUGAAAAAUGCUGGAGAGAGAGGCAUUUAUCACUAUAAACUUCCCUCUUAGAACUGCUUCUGCUGUAUCCCGCGAGUUUUGGUGCGUUGUAUUUCCAUUGUUCAAGUGAAUGUGUCUCCCACCACGUCCCUUGGUAGACAGUGCUGCUCCCAGACCCCAGCUGAGAGGAGAUGGAACUGCGUCACUGGCUGCUUCACCAUCCACAGCCUGGACUGAGCUGGGUGGGCCUGCUACUGGAAGUACAGGUGGGCAUGGCUCUUCCCACAUCCCUGGCUUGGCAGAUGGUGCCAGUUGCAGGAUCAAGCUCUGCCCACCAUUGAGCAGCCCAGGCAUCAUGGAGCCUCAGUACUCUUCCUUCGGGCCACAUGGCGCACUCCUUGGCUAGACCAUUCGUCAACCGCACCCGAGGUUUUCUAAAGUUCCUAGAUUGAGACCAGACCUUCUCAAGGAUCUUCCAAUCUUA